AGAAGAUGCGCUGUUCCAGGGGCCUGGGUGGGAGCAGCCCAGGAGCCUGCGUCUCCCCUCCUCGGCCCUGGGAGGCGGCUGGACUGUGCCACACGGGACGGGUGCUGAGGGACCGCUGGGUGCCCACCUCCCUGACCCCUCCUGCAGGGGUGCCUGCCAAGCAGCCUGGGCACUGCCGUCUGGAAGAUGCGCCGUGCCGGUUCUACACGGUGUUCCCUUGCUCCAGGCAGAAAGGCAGAGGAGCCUGGCAACCAUGUCCCAAGUUGGAAGGAAGCUCUGAGAACCCUGCUCCCCAGAAAUCCUGAGCAAAGGCUGGCUGGCCUACAGGAGCAGUCUAGAGUAAGAGCUGUUUCCUGGCAGAGGAUCAAGUAUCCAGGUCACAUUGAAGAGACAUGUGAGGACUCCAAUGGAGAACAAUUUGAGAGUGAGAAACCAGUUCUGGAGGCCAGGAAGUUCAAGAUCAAGGUGUUGGCAAGUUCAGUGUCUGCUGAGGACCUGAUCUCUCUUCUUUCAAGAUGGCAUCUUGUUGCUCUUCCCUCCAGAGAGUAGAAAUGCUGGAACCUCACAUGGAGGAAAAAAUGAAAAGGACCAAUGCUAGUUCCCUUCAGCCUUUUUAUGAACUCACUAAUUCCCAUUGAGGGCUCCACAUACAUGACUUAAUCACCUCCUAAAUGCCUGACUUCCUAAUACUCUCAUUUUGAAGAUUAAGUUUCAACAUAUGAAUUUGGGGGUCAUAUUCAGAACAUAGCACUUAUGAUACUAUCUCAAAUCAUAGACUGCUUUCUCGGUGGGCAUCUAUCUCAGUUUCUUUUCUGUUGUUAUUACAGAGUACCUGAGCCUGAGUAAUUUAUAAAGAAAAUACAUUUAUUUUGGCUCAUGGCUCUAUAGGCUGGGAAGUCCAAGAUUGGGCGGUUACAUCUGGUUGGCUCCUGGUGCGGGCCUCCUGCCGCAUCAUAACAAGGUAGAGAAGUGAAAGGGAAGGUGGGCUUGUAGGAAGGGGGCAAAGCAUGAAGGGCAGGCUUGCUUUAUAGAAACUGGGACACAGCACCCCACAGGAUGAGUGUAUAAAGGCUAGACAGACAAGGGGAUUGUUGUGUUGAACCUGAAAAGUCCCCUCACCUGGCAAUGCUCUCUGUUCCCUGUGAGAAGAAGGGGUUUCUUUUCUUCUGGGAUGAUUCAUCCCUUCACCUGUGGCCUUCCCUAGAGCCCAUCCUUGUGCCAUUCUGCUCUCCAGGCACAUCUCUCUCAGAUGAAUUCCCUCUUCCCUCUUCCUCUGGCCCCUCCUGUUUAUUUAUCUGUUUCCUCACCACUGUGUAAUCAGGUAGGCCCCACUGCUGUGACCUCUGGAAUAAUGAUUGAAUCUGCCCUAUCCUCUCCACAGUGAUGCCUGGGACCCAGCUGAGAUCUCCAUCAUCUCUCAAAACAACUGUGCACUGACCUCCUGACCUAAGCCCAGCCUCUGCCCACUCAGACUGACCUUCACGCAGCUGCACAAUGCUGCAUUUGGAAGCCGGACCUGACCACAUUCGUUUCCCUCUGUUGAGAUUCAUGUUCUGGAGAAAUGAAAAUGCUGUCUCAGUGGAAUGUUGAUUAGCUGGAGUGGAGACCCAAGAUCUCUGUCCAGGCAGGGCCAUCAGAACAUAGAAGUGCUCUUGGCUUUCCAAAAUCUGCACAUCUCCAACUUUUCUUUUAGCUAGAGGUGGCCCUGUGAUUGAUGAGUGACCAGCCAUGUGUGGAGAAAAGCAAUGUGAACAACUUCUGACUUCGCUGUUAAAGAAAAUUGGUCUGUCCCCCAUUUCCUUGCAUUCCCAUUCUUACUGGCUGAAAUUCAAAGCUGAUAAAUGGAGCUAGAGCAGAUAGCUGGGAAAAUGAGUUGAGGGUCUUACAUUAAGACUUGCCAGCAAGAAGAAGAAUUUUUCCAGGGUUCCUGACACCGCCAAAUUGUUCGAUCAGCUCUGAACUCUAUACUGAGAUUCUUUAAGUAUGAGAGACAUGAACUUUGACUGGCUUAAGUGAGCUAUUGAGGUCUCUUUGCUAUUGUGACCUAACUCAGGGGUCAGCAAAUAACACUCUGUGCGCAAAAUCUGACUACGAUCUGUUUUUGUAACUAAAUAAAAUUUCACUGAAACACGGAUGGUGCCUUUAGAGAUUCUGAUGAAACGACUCAAAUGCUCAACGAUAUGGAGAAGGACCAAAGGUAAU
rnacentral:lncRNA from 1 species